GACAUACUGCAAAGUCUCGCGAGAAAAUGAACAGGACAGCAACGCGACCACCGUGCUGCUUUUAGGUGCUACGAGAAAAAAUAAGAAAAGGAUCAUCCUCGUCAACAUCAUCAGUGCAGGAAUGAGUCGUCCUCCUCUCUGUGCUGGCGUGAAGAUGAAGACUUAAGUGGAACUGAAUCAAAUCCAUCUGAUGACCUCUGAAAACAUUCAACACAAAUCAUUAAAAGUUGCCUCAUGCACAGUUCA